rnacentral:rRNA from 1 species
AUUGAACGCUGGCGGCAUGCCUUACACAUGCCAGUCGAACGGCAGCACGGGUGCUUGCACCUGGUGGCGAGUGGCGAACGGGUGAGUAAUACAUCGGAACAUGUCCUGUAGUGGGGGAUAGCCCGGCGAAAGCCGGAUUAAUACCGCAUACGAUCCACGGAUGAAAGCGGGGGACCUUCGGGCCUCGCGCUAUAGGGUUGGCCGAUGGCUGAUUAGCUAGUUGGUGGGGUAAAGGCCUACCAAGACGACGAUCAGUAGCUGGUCUGAGAGGACGACCAGCCACACUGGGACUGAGACACGGCCCAGACUCCUACGGGAGGCAGCAGUGGGGAAUUUUGGACAAUGGGCGAAAGCCUGAUCCAGCAAUGCCGCGUGUGUGAAGAAGGACUUCGGGUUGUAAAGCACUUUUGUCCGGAAAGAAAUCCUUGACUCUAAUACAGUCGGGGGAUGACGGUACCGGAAGAAUAAGCACCGGCUAACUACGUG